AUGUGGGGAGGUGGAGGCAACUGCAGGGAGUGGAGUUCCGCUGAUCUCCCGUGUUCUGUUAGCAUAGCUUAGCACAGAGGAGCUAAGCUAUCUAACUAUCUCUAGUGCCAGGCCAGCUUUCCCACGGGAAACCUCAGGACUAAAUAGUGAGACAUGUGGGAACAGGGGUCUCUCAGGGGCUGCAACGUGUUGUCAUAGGCUGGGCUGCUUCCUCUGGAGGUGCCUUGGGGGGGCCUCAGGCUGGGAGGAGGAGCAGACUGUGUGUCAUCGGAGCAUGGCUGCCAGCACUCUCCACAGACAGCUCUAGGAAGCCCUGCAGGCCCUUCAGUUUGGUUUCCAGUUCAGUUCUUCGG
rnacentral:lncRNA from 1 species